UCGUUUUUGCAUUGGUUAAUUCAGCAUUGAGAAUAGUUUGUCUUAAGGACAGGCCAAAUAACUAAAUGGACGUACCUUUUAAAUUGUUUCAAGUGCAAACAUGUCAAUACAUACCGAUGGCAUGCUUGUAUGUCUAAUAUGGAUCUUUUUAUCAUUGGUAGACACAAAACAGUUUUAUAAUAAAGACAGUCCUUGUAACAUUGUGCAAUACCGCGAGGAAGUCCGAAUUCCA